rnacentral:pre_miRNA from 1 species
CGGGGGAGGCCGGAUCCUGGGCUGUGUCCCGGCGCCCUGUGCUCCGGGGCCUGCGCUGUUGGAGUCAGUCUCCCGCCGCGCAGCCCCCU